rnacentral:lncRNA from 1 species
UGGUAAGCAGCGAAGAUACUACUAAGCAUUCAACUAAAAUUUUAGAUGAAACAAACACAAUCCUAUUUUGAGGUUUAAAGGGCAAAUUUCAGUUCUUGGGUAAAUUCACUUACAGAGACCACCUUACCUCUUCAUAAGCCUGAAAAAUAUGAAAUUGUUGCCAGCCCAACCUUAUCAGCAUUUGGAAUUAGCAGGAGACUAAAAGUCUGGCAGGAGGAGGUGAAACUGUCAGUCUGUGCAGACGAUUGUGUAGCCUCAAUACCCAGGAGAAUCCAAAUCUACUACAACAGGAACUAGAGUUGAUAGUGAUGCUAACAGGAAUAAUGUACAACAUGCAGACUGCAGUGGCCUCCGAAUCAGUCAGAAGAGACCAAGACAAUCACAGAGUUUAUCUCUUGCUCUCUUAAUGGCUCUAGGUCACUGGCAGCUCUGUCCCACAUGGUCAUCUGGGCCCAGGCUCUGGGGGCUCCACCACCUUCAACACGAGGCUUCCAAGACUGCCUGGCUGGUGCCUUUCAGGCAGGUGGGAGAGGGGGAAACUGGAAGUUUAGGGGAAGGGCUGUCCUCUACGGCAAGUAGGAUGCAAGUUUGCAGCCCAGCGCAAGUGCUUACAGCUUGGGAGGAUAUGGAUAUAUGAUCCCCUUGUGUGUUCAGGAGCCAAGGAGAGGGGCCCAGCAGACCACCCCUCCACAGGAACACACAAAAGCAGAAGGUGUCUUGAAGGAGAGCGCAGAUUGCAAUAAGAAAGAGAAAAUACCUAAACAAAAGCUUCAGAGGAAAUAAAGCCUCUAUGAGGAAACCACAGAACAUCUUGAAAGAUACAAAAGCAGAGCUGAACAAAUGGAAAAACCCCGUGUGACCAGGCUGCAACCACCCCUUCCCUGAACACAUGCCCUUAGUAACGUGCAGCUCCUCCUGCCAAGACAUGGAGUCUACUCCCCACCCUUUUGAACCCAGGUUGACUUCAGGGCUCACCCUAUCAAUAGAAUGUGGUGGGAUUGGUGUCACAGGACUUCCAAGACAGUCUUUAGAGCGUUGCCACUCCCUUACACCCUUGUGGCCAUCAGAGGUGGUGGCUUGGGCUAGUCUGACAGAAGGUGGUCCCACAUGGAGCAGAAAUGGACCAGAAAUGGGCCAUUCCACCUGAGGUUCUCCAGGCAGCUCUAGCUGACGACAGCCACUCCAAUGACCCCAGGGGAAACCAGCAGAAGAACCAUGUUGCUGAGCCCAACCCAAAUUGCUGACCCACAGAAUUGAGGGCCCCCCGACAUGAUGGUUGUUUUAAAUUGAUACAUUUUGAGGUGGUUUGUUAGAUAGUAAUAUGUAAAUGAUACAUAAACCUAAAUAUAUAACUGAAUCCUAAUUAAAAUAGCAAAAGCUCCCCCCCAGCCCCAGAACUAGACAUACUGAUUCUAUAGUUCAUAUGGAAAACUAAACAGGGAAGAAAAGCCAGGAAAAUCAUGAAAAAGAACAAGAAAAUAGCCCUAAAAUACACUACAACAUCUAGAAAGCCUCAAUAAUUAAAACAGCACAGUACCGGCUUAUCAGUAGACAUGCAGACCAACAAUUGAGACUAAAGAGUCAAUGCUUCACUGACUAGGAGCAGCUGUCUGGGGCACCUCAGCACCUGGAGCAGGGUGUGGAUCUGCAGCCACUGUUUGGGGACUUGGAUCCCAUGUGCAUGAAGCACUGACUACACGUUCGUCAACAACACACAUCUCACAUGAUCCAUUCCAUUUCUAUUGUAUUUAUAUUUCUAUUGUAUUUAGAUACUGAUAAAAUAAAUAAAAU